UACGUAGGGCGCAAGCGUUAUCCGGACUUAUUGGGCGUAAAGAGCUUGUAGGCGGUUUGUCGCGUCUGCUGUGAAAUCUCAAGGCUCAACCUUGAGCUUGCAGUGGGUACGGGCAGACUAGAGUGUGGUAGGGGAGACUGGAAUUCCUGGUGUAGCGGUGAAAUGCGCAGAUAUCAGGAGGAACACCGAUGGCGAAGGCAGGUCUCUGGGCCACUACUGACGCUGAGAAGCGAAAGCAUGGGGAGCGAACAGG
rnacentral:rRNA from 1 species